rnacentral:tRNA from 1 species
CAGAAGGUAGUUUAAAAAAGAACAUCAGCUUUGGGAGCCGACGGCGGGAGUUAAACUCUCUCCUUUCUGA